GACGAACGCUGGCGGCGUGCUUAACACAUGCAAGUCGAACGGAAAGGCCCUGCUUUUGUGGGGUGCUCGAGUGGCGAACGGGUGAGUAUCACGUGAGUAACCUGCCCUUGACUUUGGGAUAACUUCAGGAAACUGGGGCUAAUACCGGAUAGGAGCUCCUGCUGCAUGGUGGGGGUUGGAAAGUUUCGGCGGUUGGGGAUGGACUCGCGGCUUAUCAGCUUGUUGGUGGGGUAGUGGCUUACCAAGGCUUUGACGGGUAGCCGGCCUGGGAGGGUGACCGGCCACAUUGGGACUGAGAGACGGCCCAGACGCCUACGGGAGGCAGCAGGGGGGAAUAUUGCACAAUGGGCGGAAGCCUGAUGCAGCAACGCCGCGUGCGGGAUGACGGCCUUCGGGUUGUAAACCGCUUUCGCCGGUGACGAAGCGUGAGUGACGGUAAUGGGUAAAGAAGCACCGGCUAACUACGUG
rnacentral:rRNA from 1 species